rnacentral:tRNA from 1 species
AGAUCGUGAUGUCUGAGAUAAUUGUUCUUAGGCCAUGGUCCUGUCACCUUAGGUCGAUCGGUACCUCAAUUUGAAGAAGAACAAACAAAUGCCAAGACAUUUGAGAGUUCUUCUUUGUAUUCAGUUCCUAAACUUGUCUAGGUCAAACCCCACAAGGGUUCUCCUGGGCCAUUAGCUCAGGUGGUUAGAGCGCACCCCUGAUAAGGGUGAGGUCCCUGGUUCAAGUCCAGGAUGGCCCAUUCGGUGUUGGGGGUAUAGCUCAGUUGGUAGAGCGCCUGCUUUGCAAGCAGGAUGUCAGCGGUUCGAGUCCGCUUACCUCCACUGAACCAUUCCCUGACAAUGAUGCUCAAGGAGACUUGUUUGAAUUGACUUAGACUUUAGUUUCAUCUGAAAUGACCCUAGCUUCCUUUCAUUCCUCCAUCUAAGUAAAAAUUAGAUUGGUUGACAGGACGCUGGGCUCACUACAAAUCUUUUGAUUUGUAUGUUUGUUCAGUAGAACCUUGACAACUGCAUAGAUUAGUCUGGAUAGAAUAAAAGCAUCUACAAGAUGCGUUAUUCUUUUGCUAUUAAUUAAGUAUUUUAAUUAAUUAGGAUACUUAAUUAGUUAAAAGAAUAAUGUUAGAUUCUUAAGCAAGAGCCGAGACUCUAUAACGCUCUUCUAAUAAUUAUUUAUUAGGAGUCUGAUUGGUAAUUCGUUUGAAUUGCUAAGAACAUUGCUUAAAGCAUGAAGCGUUAUUAGAGGAUAAUGGUCAAGCUACAA